rnacentral:rRNA from 1 species
AUUGAACGCUGGCGGCAUGCCUUACACAUGCAAGUCGAACGGCAGCGGACCUUCGGGUGCCGGCGAGUGGCGAACGGGUGAGUAAUAUAUCGGAACGUACCUUUCAGUGGGGGAUAACGUAGCGAAAGUUACGCUAAUACCGCAUACGAUCUAUGGAUGAAAGCGGGGGAUCGCAAGACCUCGCGCGAUUGGAGCGGCCGAUAUCAGAUUAGGUAGUUGGUGGGGUAAAAGCCUACCAAGCCUUCGAUCUGUAGCUGGUCUGAGAGGACGACCAGCCACACUGGAACUGAGACACGGUCCAGACUCCUACGGGAGGCAGCAGUGGGGAAUUUUGGACAAUGGGCGCAAGCCUGAUCCAGCAAUGCCGCGUGCAGGAUGAAGGCCUUCGGGUUGUAACUAGCUUUGUUACGGAACGAAACGGUUACGUCUCUAAUACAGGGGCGUAAUGACGGUACCGUAAGAAUAAGACACCGGCGUAACUACGUGCCAGCAGCCGCGGU